AAUCAACGCUGGCGGCGUGCCUAACACAUGCAAGUCGAACGGGAAAGCGGGCUUCGGCCUGUGAGUAGAGUGGCGGACGGGUGAGUAACACGUGGGUAACCUGCCCGGCUGAGGGGGAUAACUUUCCGAAAGGGGAGCUAAUACCGCAUAAGCUCUCGGGAGCGAUUUCGAGAGGAAAGCCGCAAGGCGCAGUCGGAGGGGCUCGCGCUCGAUUAGCUAGUUGGUGGGGUAAGGGCUCACCAAGGCGACGAUCGAUAGCCGGUCUGAGAGGACGGACGGCCACACUGGAACUGAGACACGGUCCAGACUCCUACGGGAGGCAGCAGUGGGGAAUUUUGCGCAAUGGGCGAAAGCCUGACGCAGCAACGCCGCGUGGAGGAUGAAGGUCUUCGGAUCGUAAACUCCUGUCCUCGGGGAAAAAGGAAGUGAUGGUACCCGGGGACGGGAAGGCCCGGCGUAACUCCGUGCCAGCAGCCGCGGUAAUCACAGAGUA
rnacentral:rRNA from 1 species